GUUUCCCUACGGGAGGCAGCAGUGAGGAAUAUUGGUCAAUGGGCGCAAGCCUGAACCAGCCAAGUCGCGUGAGGGAUGAAGGUACAGAGUAUCGUAAACCUCUUUUGUCAGGGAACAAAGGCGGGGACGCGUCCCCGGAUGAGUGUACCUGAAGAAAAAGCAUCGGCUAACUCCGUGCCAGCAGCCGCGGUAAUACGGAGGAUGCGAGCGUUAUCCGGAUUUAUUGGGUUUAAAGGGUGCGCAGGCGGUCUGUUAAGUCAGCGGUCAAAGCCCGGGGCUCAACCCCGGCCCGCCGUUGAAACUGG
rnacentral:rRNA from 1 species